rnacentral:rRNA from 1 species
GACGAACGCUGGCGGCGUGCCUAAUACAUGCAAGUCGAGCGGAUGAUGGAGGAGCUUGCUCCUCCUGAUUCAGCGGCGGACGGGUGAGUAACACGUGGGCAACCUGCCCUGUAGAUUGGGAUAACUCCGGGAAACCGGGGCUAAUACCGAAUAACCCACCGGACCUCAUGGUCUGGUGUUGAAAGACGGCAUCUCGCUGUCACUACAGGAUGGGCCCGCGGCGAAUUAGCUAGUUGGUGAGGUGACGGCUCACCAAGGCCACGAUGCGUAGCCGACCGGAGAGGGUGAUCGGCCACACUGGGACGGAGACACGGCCCAGACUCCUACGGGAGGCAGCAGUAGGGAAUCUUCCACAAUGGACGAAAGUCUGAUGGAGCAACGCCGCGGGAGUGAAGAAGGUUCUCGGAUCGUAAAACUCUGUUGUGAGGGAAUAAAAGGCCUUAUGGGCAUUUGAAUGUACCUGCGAAGGAAGCCCCGGCUAACUUCGUGCCAGCCGCCGCAGUAAGAC